ensembl:lncRNA novel transcript
AGAUCCUUGGCCAAACAACGCGGAUUGCAGUUCAUUUCAAAGGUAAAAUGGAUGGAACAUCAGACAGCUCAUUAUAGAGACAAGUAAGCUCCAGUUCCAAAGUUGGUUGACAGAACAAGUCAUGACCUUGUGUGGAGGAAAAUGAGAUCCCGAGUGAAGUCUACAAUGUCAUUGACUCUGAAGAAGGACUCAGAGACCCAUUGGUGUUUAAUGACCCUUACUGGCCUAUGCAAUGGAAACUGGUAAUGAAAACAUCCCCAUGACCAGAAAUCCUCAGGAAUAAUUCCUCUUGACUGCAGCCAAUGGGAACUCUAUAGAUUGGUUUGCUGCUCUCUUUCCUGAUAAAGAGAAGACUUUGAGAUGUGCAUGUUUAUGUUGGUAAAUAAAUUCUGGCAUGAAAUGAGAAUUCAGGAAUCAAGCCUAAGGCAUCAAAAACAGUAAUAAAGUGAAUUUGUAGCCAUAUUGUCUUUGGUGCUUCCAGGACAAAGUCUGCAUAUUUAAGGCUAAUGGUGCAGAUUUCUGAGUUUUAUGAAAUAUGUCAUCAUGUGAUGGUUUUGGUAUCAGGAUGAUGCUGGCAUCGAAAAAUGAGUUAGGGAGGAGUCCAUCCUUUUGAAUUGUUUGAAAUAGUUUCAGAAGAAAUGGUACCAACUCCUCUUUUACCUCUGGUAGAAUUCAUCUGUAAAUCCAUCUAGUCCUGGGCAUUUUUUGAUCUUGAGUGUGCCUUAAAAUUCCAUUUCAUGGAGAACUGUGCGUGGUUGAAUUUUGAUUGAUUACUCAAUUAACUGAUGUAUUGGUAGAGUGAUUAAGAAAGAAGACUUUGGGAUCAGACCAACCUGGUUUUGAAUUCAAGCUCAGCAACUUACUAGCUGCAGUUAUGGCAUUAACCACCCAGUUGUUACCUACUUCUAGAUGAAAGCUCAAUUUUCCUACAUAAUUAAGAGUUUGGAAUUCGGGCAAUAUCAAGAACCACAUCUGUCCUGAAAUCAAUUAUCUCUGUUUGAAACACAAGAAAUAAGAAGACCAUUUUGAGAAGAACAGAGAGUAGCCUUAAGAAAAUCCCUGUCGCAAGCACUCUGGGAUUUGGACUCAAAUGCUAAUUAUACAGAACCACUUGGGUGCCCAGCUGCUGUCCAUUCUCUACACUUAUCCCACCUGAUGGAAGGCUGUUAAGAAAAACAUCACUGCAAUGCCUAAUAAACAGACAUGGGUCCCAGACCCAAUAAGAGUGAAACCAUCCCCCUAUUUAAAUGAAAUUAUGGCUGAUGAGAAAGACAAAUUAAUUUCUCUGUCCCUAGUAUUACACAAAACUUUGGAUGCUGCCAUUGUUACAAUUUUAUUUUCCCCAGGAGCUCAGAGUCCCACCUUCAUUCUUUUUGUUUAAUGCUUAAGCUUGCCUGUCCACCUAUGGAAGACUAGAAUGAGCAAAGACCAUGUAUUCAAUGAUCUGUAAAUCUAACAGGAAACAAUAUAAUAAAUAUAUUGUGUUUGCUAACCAAA